rnacentral:rRNA from 1 species
AGUGAACGCUGGCGGUAGGCCUAACACAUGCAAGUCGACCGGCAGCACAGUAAGAGCUUGCUCUUACGGGUGGCGAGUGGCGGCCGGGUGAGGAAUACAUCGGAAUCUACUUUUUCGUGGGGGAUAACGUAGGGAAACUUACGCUAAUACCGCAUACGACCUACGGGUGAAAGCAGGGGAUCUUCGGACCUUGCGCGAUUGAAUGAGCCGAUGUCGGAUUAGCUAGUUGGCGGGGUAAAGGCCCACCAAGGCGACGAUCCGUAGCUGGUCUGAGAGGAUGAUCAGCCACACUGGAACUGAGACACGGUCCAGACUCCUACGGGAGGCAGCAGUGGGGAAUAUUGGACAAUGGGCGCAAGCCUGAUCCAGCCAUACCGCGUGGGUGAAGAAGGCCUUCGGGUUGUAAAGCCCUUUUGUUGGGAAAGAAAAGCAGCAGGUUAAUACCCCGCUGUUCUGACGGUACCCAAAGAAUAAGCACCGGCUAACUUCGUG